GACGAACGCUGGCGGCGUGCCUAAUACAUGCAAGUAGAACGCUGAAGGAGGAGCUUGCUUCUCCGGAUGAGUUGCGAACGGGUGAGUAACGCGUAGGUAACCUGCCUGGUAGCGGGGGAUAACUAUUGGAAACGAUAGCUAAUACCGCAUAACAGUAGAUGUUGCAUGACAUUUGCUUAAAAGGUGCAAUUGCAUCACUACCAGAUGGACCUGCGUUGUAUUAGCUAGUUGGUGGGGUAACGGCUCACCAAGGCGACGAUACAUAGCCGACCUGAGAGGGUGAUCGGCCACACUGGGACUGAGACACGGCCCAGACUCCUACGGGACGCAGCAGUCCGGAAUCCUUCCGCAAUGGACGGAAGUCUGACCGACCAACCCCGCGUGAGUGAAGAACGUCCUCGGAUCGCCCAAGCUCUGUCGUAAGAGAAGAACGAGUGUGAGAGUGGAAAGUUCACACUGUGACGGUAUCUUACCAGAAAGGGACGGCUAACUACGUGCCAGCAGCCGCGGUAAUACGUACGUCCCGAGCGUUGUCCGGAUUUAUUGGGCGUAAAGCGAGCGCAGGCGGUUAGAUAAGUCUGAAGUUAAAGGCUGUGGCU
rnacentral:rRNA from 1 species